rnacentral:rRNA from 1 species
CCUACGGGAGUCAGCAGUGAGGAAUAUUGGUCAAUGGUCGAGAUCCUGAACCAGCCAAGCCGCGUGAGGGAGGAAGGUACAGAGGAUCGUACACCUCUUUUGUCAGGGAACAAAGCCUGGGACGCGUCCCCGAAUGCGUGUACCUGAAGAAAAAGCAUCGGCUAACUCCGUGCCUGCAGCCGCGGUAAUACGGAGGAUGCGAGCGUUAUCCGGAUUUCUUGGUUUUAAAGGGUGCGCAGUCGGUCCGUUACGUCAGCGGUACAAGCGCGGGGCUCAACCCCGUCGCGCCGUUGAAACUGGCAGUCUCGAGUUGGAGAGAAGUACGCGGAAUGCGCGGUGUAGCGGGGAAAUGCAUAGAUAGCGCGCAGAACUCCGAUUGCGAAGGCAGCAUGCCGGCGCCACACUGACGCUGAGGCACGAAAGCGUGGGUAUCGAACAGGAUUAGAUACCCUAGUAGUC